rnacentral:rRNA from 1 species
AUACGGAGGGAGCGAGCGUUAAUCGGAAUUACUGGGCGUAAAGCGCGCGUAGGCGGCUUUGUAAGUCGGAUGUGAAAGCCCUGGGCUCAACCUGGGAAUGGCAUUCGAUACUGCAGAGCUAGAGUAUGGUAGAGGGAAGUGGAAUUUCCGGUGUAGCGGUGAAAUGCGUAGAUAUCGGAAGGAACACCAGUGGCGAAGGCGACUUCCUGGGCCAAUACUGACGCUGAGGUGCGAAAGCGUGGGGAGCAAACAGGAUUAGAAACCCUGGUAGUCC